ACGGGUGAGUAACACGUGAGUAACCUGCCCUUGACUCUGGGAUAACCUCCGGAAACGGAAGCUAAUACCGGAUACGACGUACGGAGGCAUCUCCUGUACGUGGAAGAACUUCGGUCAAGGAUGGACUCGCGGCCUAUCAGGUAGUUGGUGAGGUAACGGCUCACCAAGCCUACGACGGGUAGCCGGCCUGAGAGGGUGACCGGCCACACUGGGACUGAGACACGGCCCAGACUCCUACGGGAGGCAGCAGUGGGGAAUAUUGCACAAUGGGCGCAAGCCUGAUGCAGCAACGCCGCGUGAGGGAUGACGGCCUUCGGGUUGUAAACCUCCUUUAGUAGGGAAGAAGCGAAAGUGACGGUACCUGCAGAAAAAGCACCGGCUAACUACGUGCCAGCAGCCGCGGUAAUACGUAGGGUGCGAGCGUUGUCCGGAAUUAUUGGGCGUAAAGAGCUCGUAGGCGGUCUGUCGCGUCUGCUGUGAAAACCCGAGGCUCAACCUCGGGCCUGCAGUGGGUACGGGCAGACUAGAGUGCGGUAGGGGAGAAUGGAAUUCCUGGUGUAGCGGUGGAAUGCGCAGA
rnacentral:rRNA from 1 species